CCCCCCCCAAAAAAAAAACCUCGGCGCGGGCGGGUGGGCCGCUCUCCUUCCUCGUUCAGUCUCUCCACUCGGCCCGGACCUGGUGACCGGCAGGGCAGCCGGACGCCUUUUUCUUUCCUGCUCUCUCUCACCCGGGCAAACUUCCUCAGUCAGAGGCCUGAACUGUCAGCCUCGGAAUCUCUCUCUGUCAGGUACAUGUUCACAAAGCCCUCCAUGGCAGCCAUGGAUAAAAGGGAAUGGAUUGAAGAAAAUGGAGAACCAUUAGCUAAUCUACCAAAAAUCUUUGUUAUGAAGAAACCAUAUCGAUAUUCAAAGG